rnacentral:rRNA from 1 species
UACGGGGGGGGCAAGCGUUGUUCGGAAUUACUGGGCGUAAAGGGCUCGUAGGCGGCCAACUAAGUCAGACGUGAAAUCCCUCGGCUUAACCGGGGAACUGCAUCUGAUACUGGAUGGCUUGAGUUCGGGAGAGGGAUGCGGAAUUCCAGGUGUAGCGGUGGAAUGCGCAGAUAUCAGGAAGAACACCCGUGGCGAAGGCGGCUCUCUGGAACGCAACUGACGCUGAGACGCGAAAGCGUGGGGAGCAAACAGG